GACGAACUGCCCAAACGUUGUUCGGAAUCACUGGGCUUAAAGGGCGCGUAGGCGGCAGAUCAAGUCAGGGGUGAAAUCCGGCAGCUCAACUGUCGAAGUGCCUUUGAUACUGAUUUGCUCGAGGGAGAUAGGGGUCUGCGGAACUUCUGGUGGAGCGGUGAAAUGCGUUGAUAUCAGAAGGAACGCCGGUGGCGAAAGCGGCGGACUGGAUCUCUUCUGACGCUGAGGCGCGAAAGCUAGGGGAGCAAACGGG
rnacentral:rRNA from 2 species